UGGCUGUCGUCAGCUCGUGUUGUGAAAUGUGGUAAGUCCGCAACGAGCACAACCCUUAUCCUUUGUUGCCAGCGGUCCGGCCGGGAACUCAAAGGAGACUGCCAGUGAUAAACUGGAGGAAGGUGGGGGAUGACGUCAAGUCAUCAUGGCCCUUACGACCAGGGCUACACACGUGCUACAAUGGCGCAUACAAAGAGAAGCGACCUCGCGAGAGCAAGCGGACCUCAUAAAGUGCGUCGUAGUCCGGAUUGGAGUCUGCAACUCGACUCCAUGAAGUCGGAAUCGCUAGUAAUCGUGGAUCAGAAUGCCACGGUGAAUACGUUCCCGGGCCUU
rnacentral:rRNA from 1 species